UCGGCCUGAGGGAGCGCGGGACGGUGCGCCGGCGUCGCGUGCGCGGUGUGUGAGCAGGUCGCGCGCGCGGCAGGCGAGUGAGGGAGCGGGGAGCGGCCGGGUGCGUGUGUGUGGGAGUGAGUGCGUGUGGGAGUGGGAGGGAGGGGAAGGCAGAACGACCGCAGGCCGCGAGAGAGUGGGCGAGUGCGAGAGGACGUCCGGCUGGCCGCGGGAGCCGCGGGCGGCGGAGGAGAAAGGAGGCGGCUCCCGGCAUCCCGACCCCUCCCCCGCCUCUCCUCCGACUUCCAGCCGGCCCGGCUGCCCGCGCUUCCUCAGAGGCCCCAGCCGGGCUCCGGCGGCCGACGGCGAGGGAGGCGCCGCCCGGGCCAGAAACUGUAUAUUCAAGAAGAAAUAAUCCAGAAGGAACAACAAGCAGAUCAAGAUGUGUAGCUCUGUGGCUGCCAAGUUGUGGUUUUUGACAGAUCGUCGAAUCAGGGAAGACUAUCCCCAAAAAGGGAUAUUACGAGCAUUGAAGACCAGAUGUUGUGAGGAGGAACUGGACUUUAGGGCCAUGGUGAUGGAUGAAGUGGUGCUGACAGUCGAGCAAGGAAACCUGGGAUGACUGGUAAGGGGAUCUUAACCCUUGACUUGAUGUUGUCAGCACCAUGCUCUCCCAAGUGAGCUAACCGGCCAUCCCUGUAUAGGGAUCCGAACCCGUGGCCUUGGUGUUAUCAGCACCACACUCUCCCAGGGAUUCGAACCCUUGACCUUGGUAUUAUCAGCGUCAUGCUCAACCUACUUGAGUGAGCUAACUGGCCAGCCCUCAUGAUGUUAUUCUUUGAAGUAUUAAGGUUUUUAAUUUAAUGAAGUCCAAUUUAUCUUGUUUUUCUUUUGUUGCUUGUGCUUUUGAUGUCAUAUCAAAAAAGGUUUUUCAAACCAAGGGUCCCAAAGACUUACAUUUAGAUCUGUGAUCCAUUUUGUGUUAAUUUUUACGUAUGGUGUGAAAAAAGGGUCUAACUUCAUUCUUAUGCU